UACGUAGGGGGCUAGCGUUGUCCGGAAUCAUUGGGCGUAAAUAGCGUGUAGGCGGCUCGGUAAGUCCGCUCUGAAAGCCCGGGGCUCAACCCCGGGAGGCGGGCGGAUACUGUCGAGCUAGAGUCCGGAAGAGGCGAGUGGAAUUCCUGGUGUAGCGGUGAAAUGCGCAGAUAUCAGGAGGAACACCGAUAGCGAAGGCAGCUCGCUGGGACGGUACUGACGCUGAGACGCGAAAGCGUGGGGAGCAAACAGG
rnacentral:rRNA from 1 species